GAACGCUGGCGGCGUGCUUAACACAUGCAAGUCGAACGGUGAAAGAGAGCUUGCUCUCUGGAUCAGUGGCGAACGGGUGAGUAACACGUGAGCAAUCUGCCCUUGACUCUGGGAUAAGCGUUGGAAACGACGUCUAAUACCGGAUACGAGCUGUGAAGGCAUCUUCAACAGCUGGAAAGAAUUUCGGUCAAGGAUGAGCUCGCGGCCUAUCAGCUAGUUGGUGAGGUAAUGGCUCACCAAGGCGUCGACGGGUAGCCGGCCUGAGAGGGUGACCGGCCACACUGGGACUGAGACACGGCCCAGACUCCUACGGGAGGCAGCAGUGGGGAAUAUUGCACAAUGGGCGAAAGCCUGAUGCAGCAACGCCGCGUGAGGGACGACGGCCUUCGGGUUGUAAACCUCUUUUAGCAGGGAAGAAGCGAAAGUGACGGUACCUGCAGAAAAAGCACCGGCUAACUACGUGCCAGCAGCCGCGGUAAUACGUAGGGUGCAAGCGUUAUCCGGAAUUAUUGGGCGUAAAGAGCUCGUAGGCGGUUUGUCGCGUCUGCUGUGAAAUCUGGGGGCUCAACCCCCAGCCUGCAGUGGGUACGGGCAGACUAGAGUGCGGUAGGGGAGAUUGGAAUUCCUGGUGUAGCGGUGGAAUGCGCAGAUAUCAGGAGGAACACCGAUGGCGAAGGCAGAUCUCUGGGCCGUAACUGACGCUGAGGAGCGAAAGGGUGGGGAGCAAACAGGCUUAGAUACCCUGGUAGUCCACCCCGUAAA
rnacentral:rRNA from 1 species